GUUGACCUCGGAUCAGGUAGGGAUACCCGCUGAACUUAAGCAUAUCANA
rnacentral:rRNA from 1 species